rnacentral:snoRNA from 1 species
AACUCGUGGUGAGGGCACCUUCUUAAUAGAUCCUUGUAUCUCUCCCAUGCAUCGUAAAGUGUUUUUCAGUCCAUUUGCACAAAAGAAGAGAUAUCAUUGCGUAAUU